rnacentral:rRNA from 1 species
GAUGAACGCUGGCGGCGUGCCUAAUACAUGCAAGUCGAACGAACAGACGAUAAGCUUGCGGCUCUCAUGUUAGCGGCGGACGGGUGAGUAACGCGUGUAUAACCUACCUAUAAGACUGGGAACACUUCGGGAAACCGGAUCUAAUACCAGAUAAUAUCUUGAACCGCAUGGUUCAAAAGUGAGAGACGGUCUUGCUGUCACUUAUAGAUGCAUCUGGGCUGCAUUAGCUAGUUGGUAAGGUAACGGCUUACCAAGGCAACGAUGCAUAGCCGACCUGAGAGGCGGAUCGGCGACAUGGGAGCGGAGCCAGGGUCAAGAGGACUGCGGGAGGCAGCAGUCGGGAAUGUGCCGCAGCAGGCGAAAGCCUGAUGGAGCAACGGCGCGUGAGUGAUGACGGUCUUCGGAUCGGAAAACUCUGUUAUUAGGGAUGAACAGAUGUGGCAGUAAAUGUGGAGAUAUUGACGGUACCUAAUCAGAAAGCACCGGCUAACUACGUG